AACGAACGCUGGCGGCAUGCCUAACACAUGCAAGUCGAACGAGACCUUCGGGUCUAGUGGCGCACGGGUGCGUAACGCGUGGGAACCUGCCCUUAGGCUCGGAAUAACUCCCCGAAAGGGGUGCUAAUACCGGAUAAUGUCCUCUGACAAAAGAUUUAUCGCCUUUGGAUGGGCCCGCGUUGGAUAAGCUAGUUGGUAGGGUAAAAGCCUACCAAGGCUACGAUCCAUAGCUGGUCUGAGAGGAUGAGCAGCCACACUGAGACUGAGACACGGCCCAGACUCCUACGGGAGGCAGCAGUGGGGGAUAUUGGACAAUGGGCGAAGGCCUGAUCCAGCACUGCCGCGUGAGUGAUGAAGGCCUUAGGGUUGUAAAGCCCUUUUACCCGGGAUGAUAAUGACAGUACCGGGAGAAUAAGCACCGGCUAACUCCGUG
rnacentral:rRNA from 1 species